rnacentral:rRNA from 3 species
GUUUGGGAAUGCAGCUCAAAGUGGGUGGUAAAUUCCAUCUAAGGCUAAAUAUAAGUGAGAGACCGAUAGCAAACAAGUACCGUGAGGGAAAGAUGAAAAGAACUUUGAAAAUAGAGUUAACAGUACGUGAAAUUGCUGAAAGGUAAACGUUUGAAGUUAGUUUUGUAUUCGUUAGAUCAGCUUCGCAAGGAGUGUAUUCUGAUGAUAAGCAAGUCAACAUCAGUCUAUGAGUGUCGGAGAAGGGUUUUGAGAAUGUAGCAAUUUAAUUGUGUUAUAGCUUGAGACUUGGAUACGAUGCUUUGGAUUGAGGAACGCGUAGUAAGCUUUGAGCGGAUUCGAAAGGAUCUCCUUACUAUGGAUGUUGGUGAAAUAACUUUAAGCGACCCGUCUUGAAACACGGACCAAGGAGUCUAACAUGCUUGCGAGUAUUAGGGUGUUGAAACCCGAAUGCGUAAUGAAAGUGAAUCUAAGAUGUGAUCCGCAAGGUGCAACAUCGGCCGGUCUGGAACAUUUAUGUGAAGGUACUGAGCAAGAGCAAGUAUGUUAGGACCCGAAAGAUGGUGAACUAUGCCUGGAUAGGG